rnacentral:lncRNA from 1 species
AGACUACACACACAUUGAGCCUCAGCUCAUACUUUUAUGCUUAAACUCUUAACCCAGGCACCAGGCACAGACCGCAGAAUGAGCGCACAAUUUCCCACUCUUAUUAGGAGCUCAAAAACUUAACAAAAAUGGUUCCUGUUUAGAUUUCAGUUUAUUGCACUCAAAUACAAGGCUGCAGAUAAUGAAUUGAACAUUGUCUAUUGUCGACUGUUUCUCGAAAAGAAAUUAAAUAAAUUGCAUGGAAAACUAUUGGCAUGAAUCGCUGGCAAGCGAACAAAGAAAGCCGAUUUGCAAUUCACUCAACCUUCCCAGGGUACUCUCUCUGCAUUUGUGUCAACUGGUUUUGUUAUGGAUGUUUGCAUUAGUGAGCAAUAUAUCUUUUUCAAUGGAUGUACUCGCACUCCGGCCUGCCCUGCCCUGCCCCUGCAGUUGUCCGGCAGGGAACAAUGUACGCAUUGCGUCACAGCGAGAGAUACGCCCAUUGUUUGGACUGAAACAAAGCCAAAGCUCUGCGACAUUGUGCCCCUUGUGAGCAUUUCGCUUUGGUCAUAGUUUUAAUCUCACUAAUGGCAGCAACAGCAGCGGUAGGGUCGGUAGGGUCGGUAGGUCGCCAGGGCUUCUAUCUGUGGGCACAAUACACCAGAUUCUCGAGCUCAUGUCAAAAAGGUCGCUCGCUUGCUGCUGACGACAAUUCCAUUUUCCCGCACUCAAAAGACCCACUACACAAAGCCAUCAAAAGCUGAAUAACCUAC